AGAGUUUGAUCCUGGCUCAGGAUGAACGCUAGCGACAGGCUUAACACAUGCAAGUCGAGGGGCAGCGGGGGAGUAGCAAUACUCCCGCCGGCGACCGGCGCACGGGUGAGUAACACGUAUGAAACCUGCCCGUAGCAGGGGGAUAAGCGGAAGAAAUUCCGUCUAAUACCGCGUAACAACCCUUGGAGGCAUCUCCUCGGGUUUAAAGGAAGCGAUUCCGGCUACGGAUGGUCAUGCGUCGCAUUAGCUAGUUGGCGGGGUAACGGCCCACCAAGGCGACGAUGCGUAGGGGUUCUGAGAGGAAGGUCCCCCACACUGGUACUGAGACACGGACCAGACUCCUACGGGAGGCAGCAGUGAGGAAUAUUGGUCAAUGGCCGCAGGGCUGAACCAGCCAAGUCGCGUGAGGGAUGACGGUCCUAUGGAUUGUAAACCUCUUUUGUCAGGGAGCAAAGGGCGUCACGUGUGGCGUUUUGCGAGUACCUGAAGAAAAAGCAUCGGCUAACUCCGUGCCGGCAGCCGCGGUAAUACGGAGGAUGCGAGCGUUAUCCGGAUUUAUUGGGUUUAAAGGGUGCGCAGGCGGAAUGUCAAGUCAGCGGUAAAAUUUCGGGGCUCAACCCCGUCGUGCCGUUGAAACUGGCGUUCUUGAGUGAGCGAGAAGUAUGCGGAAUGCGUGGUGUAGCGGUGAAAUGCAUAGAUAUCACGCAGAACUCCGAUUGCGAAGGCAGCAUACCGGCGCUCAACUGACGCUCAUGCACGAAAGCGUGGGUAUCGAACAGGAUUAGAUACCCUGGUAGUCCACGCAGUAAACGAUGAAUACUAACUGUCCGGGCAGAAUGAUGUCUGGGUGGUACAGCGAAAGCGUUAAGUAUUCCACCUGGGGAGUACGCCGGCAACGGUGAAACUCAAAGGAAUUGACGGGGGCCCGCACAAGCGGAGGAACAUGUGGUUUAAUUCGAUGAUACGCGAGGAACCUUACCCGGGCUCAAACGACUCAGGAAUAUAUUGGAAACGAUGUAGCCAGCAAUGGUCUGAGUCGAGGUGCUGCAUGGUUGUCGUCAGCUCGUGCCGUGAGGUGUCGGCUUAAGUGCCAUAACGAGCGCAACCCCUACCGCCAGUUGCCAACGGGUAAAGCCGGGAACUCUGGCGGGACUGCCGGCGCAAGCUGCGAGGAAGGCGGGGAUGACGUCAAAUCAGCACGGCCCUUACGUCCGGGGCGACACACGUGUUACAAUGGCAGGUACAGCGGGAAGCCACCUGGUGACAGGGAGCGGAACCCGAAAGCCUGUCUCAGUUCGGAUUGGAGUCUGCAACUCGACUCCAUGAAGCUGGAUUCGCUAGUAAUCGCGCAUCAGCCAUGGCGCGGUGAAUACGUUCCCGGGCCUUGCACACACCGCCCGUCAAG
rnacentral:rRNA from 1 species